rnacentral:rRNA from 1 species
UACGUAGGGUGCAAGCGUUGUUCGGAUUCACUGGGCGUAAAGGGUGCGCAGGUGGUCGGGUAAGUCUGACGUGAAAUCCCGCAGCUUAACUGCGGAAUGGCAUUGGAUACUAUUCGGCUAGAGGGUUGGAGGGGGACUGGAAUUCUCGGUGUAGCAGUGAAAUGCGUAGAUAUCGAGAGGAACACCAGUGGCGAAGGCGAGUCCCUGGACAACUCCUGACGCUGAGGCACGAAAGCUAGGGGAGCAAACAGG